GAUGAGCGCUGGCGGCGUGCCUAAUACAUGCAAGUCGAGCGAACAGAUAAGGAGCUUGCUCCUUUGACGUUAGCGGCGGACGGGUGAGUAACACGUGGGUAACCUACCUAUAAGACUGGGAUAACUUCGGGAAACCGGAGCUAAUACCGGAUAACAUUUGGAACCGCAUGGUUCUAAAGUGAAAGAUGGUUUUGCUAUCACUUAUAGAUGGACCCGCGCCGUAUUAGCUAGUUGGUAAGGUAACGGCUUACCAAGGCGACGAUACGUAGCCGACCUGAGAGGGUGAUCGGCCACACUGGAACUGAGACACGGUCCAGACUCCUACGGGAGGCAGCAGUAGGGAAUCUUCCGCAAUGGGCGAAAGCCUGACGGAGCAACGCCGCGUGAGUGAUGAAGGGUUUCGGCUCGUAAAACUCUGUUAUUAGGGAAGAACAAAUGUGUAAGUAAUUGUGCACGUCUUGACGGUACCUAAUCAGAAAGCCACGGCUAACUACGUGCCAGCCGCCGCCGUAA
rnacentral:rRNA from 1 species